AAUCUGCCCUACACUAGAGGACAACAGUUGGAAACGACUGCUAAUACUCUAUACUCCUCUUUAACAUAAGUUAGAUAGGGAAAGUUUUUCGGUGUAGGAUGAGGCUAUAUUGUAUCAGCUAGUUGGUGAGGUAAUGGCUCACCAAGGCUAUGACGCAUAACUGGUCUGAGAGGAUGAUCAGUCACACUGGAACUGAGACACGGUCCAGACUCCUACGGGAGGCAGCAGUAGGGAAUAUUGCUCAAUGGGGGAAACCCUGAAGCAGCAACGCCGCGUGGAGGAUGACACUUUUCGGAGCGUAAACUCCUUUUGUUAGGGAAGAACAAUGACGGUACCUAACGAAUAAGCACCGGCUAACUCCGUGCCAGCAGCCGCGGUAAUACGGAGGGUGCAAGCGUUACUCGGAAUCACUGGGCGUAAAGGACGCGUAGGCGGAUUAUCAAGUCUCUUGUGAAAUCCUAUGGCUUAACCAUAGAACUGCUUGGGAAACUGAUAAUCUAGAGUGAGGGAGAGGCAGAUGGAAUUGGUGGUGUAGGGGUAAAAUCCGUAGAGAUCACCAGGAAUACCCAUUGCGAAGGCGAUCUGCUGGAACUCAACUGACGCUAAUGCGUGAAAGCGUGGGGAGCAAACAGGAUUAGAUACCCUGGUAGUCCACGCCCUAAACGAUGUAUACUAGUUGUUGCUAAGCUAGUCUUGGCAGUAAUGCACCUAACGGAUUAAGUAUACCGCCUGGGGAGUACGGUCGCAAGAUUAAAACUCAAAGGAAUAGACGGGGACCCGCACAAGCGGUGGAGCAUGUGGUUUAAUUCGAAGAUACGCGAAGAACCUUACCCGGACUUGAUAUCUAACAAAUCAUCUAGAGAUAGAAGAGUGUCUGCUCGCAGAAAUGUUAAGACAGGUGCUGCACGGCUGUCGUCAGCUCGUGUCGUGAGAUGUUGGGUUAAGUCCCGCAACGAGCGCAACCCACGUCAUUAGUUGCUAACAGUUCGGCUGAGCACUCUAAUGAGACUGCCUUCGUAAGGAGGAGGAAGGUGUGGACGACGUCAAGUCAUCAUGGCCCUUAUGUCCGGGGCGACA
rnacentral:rRNA from 1 species